CUGAGGGUGGCACUGAGGCACCGGUGUAACAUUUGUCCACCUCCCUAGUCUGUUUUUCUUCCUGACGGGCUGUGUGUACGUGCCGAGUCUGUUGUUCCUCCUGACGGGCUGUGUGUACGUGCAUUAGAGAAGGGCAUUAUUGCUUCUGAUGCAACGACAGGCACUAAAAACAGCUCCGGGGGCAUUGCUAAAGACCUAAACUACAUUCUCGAGCUUUCCAUUCUCUCUCUCUCUCUCUGGCAGGUGUGAGUGACAGCCGACAAGGUGGUGGUGGUGGUGGUGAUGGCACAUGUACAGUGAGUUGAGAAGGCUCCUAGACAGACUACAGAGGGAGACUGGAGCUCUUACCCUUACCCGUAGAGGAUAGAAGAUGCCCCUUGCACUACCAGGAUGUCCCAGGAACCCCAAGGAUGCCAGGAACCUUAGGGGAACAUCCUACUAGGGGUUCCACAAAUAAGGAUGGGAAGUGAAGGAUUGAGAAUGCUCCAGAAGACUUGUAACAGUGCCACUACAUCACCACUACCACAGACAGCAUGGUGAUGAGUUACAGUGUCACCACCACCUCUACAUCACACUGCAAAGUUACAUCACUGCAAAGUUACAGCAUGGUGCAAUGUUACACCACCACCACAUCACAGCAAGGGUUAAGACUUUGUGUGUCGGGAAGGCUCAAUAAAUAGUAGCUGGUGACGGCCGGCCCUCGUCCUGCCCCUGGUCGGCCUCUUGAUGACGUCAUCAGCAGGUCCCAGCUUGCAUCAGCCUGGCCAGUUCAAACAUUAUUUUCCUCAGCUCACUUAUCUCGCCUGACAAGUUUAUCGGUGUCCACACUAGCCUGCCAUACCCUGCACUCCACAGCCAGUGGGGCGAAGCAGGCAGUGCUACACACACACCACUGGAAUACACCAGCAAGCAAAGCAAGAGAGACGCAGCCAGCAAAACGUGUGUGUGUGUGUGUUUGAGUGGCUGCAGGACAGGUUGUGGUGGGUAGGUGCCUUCCUAUGGCUUACUGUCCUGCCCCAUAUUUAAGGAGAUAGAGCCCUGUCAUCUAACACUAGAGGGUAGAGUGUAGCUUCAAUUGUUUGUGAAUUAAUGAGUCUGUAAUAGUGAAGAACAUUAGGGAGCAUCUAGACAAACACAACUUGAUGAAUCAGUCUCAGCACGGCUUUACGAAGGGAAAGUUGUGCCUUACAAACUUGUUGGGUUUUUAUAGUCAAGUUUAUGAGGCGGCAGAUAAUGGUGAUAGCUAUGACAUUUUAUACCUAGAUUUCAGUGAAGGUACUGCUUCAGAGGUUCUCGAAAAAGGUUAGGGCACAAGGGAUAGAGGGAAGAAUAUUAGACUGGAUAAAGUCAUGGUUAGACGAUGGGCAGCAGAGUUGUAAUAAACCGUUCUAAUUUGAAGUGGGGCUAAGUAGUUAGUGGGGUUCUACAGGGAUCAGUUCUAGGGCUAUUGUUAUUUCUAAUAUAAUGUAAAUGACUUAUUGGAACUUGUAGUGAUAUUAGAAAAUUUGCAGAUGACAGGAAGAUAAGUAGAUUCAUUUGGUAGUAUUUGGAUGCCAUCACUCUACAGGCAGAUUUAGAUAGGAUGAAUGAACGGACAGACAGAUGGUAAAUGAGUUCAACAUGAACAAAAGCAAAGUACUUAGCAUAGGUAGAGGCAAUCCACACAACAGGUACACAGUAAGCAAAGAGGCCCCGGCAGGUUCAGAAUAUGAAAAAGGUUUAGGAGUUAUAGUUUACUCCAAUCUUGGUGUAAGAAAACAAUACAUAGAGGCUUGAAAUAAGGGAAAUAGGAUACUAGGAUUAAUUUUUAGGAGCUUUAAAAGAGAAGUUUGGAAAUAAUGUUAUAUUUUGGUGUUGGUCAGACUGCAUCUAGAUUAUGGUGUACAGUUCUGGUGCCCAUGUUGUAGGAAGGAUAUGGGUCAGUACAAAGGAGGAUGUCUAAAAGGAUACAAGGGAUGAGGGAGAUUCUCUAAUAAGUGAGAUUAAAGAUACUAAAUUUGCAUUCCUUAGAGACAUAGGUUAAGAGGGGACCUGAUAGCAGUCUUGAAGUGGUGUAGGGGUUAUAACAAAUAAGGGGACCAGAUAACAGGGGUUAUAACAAAGUAGACAUGAGCAAAGUUCUUGAGAUCAGUAGCUAGGAUAGAACCAGAAGUAAUGGGUUCAAGCUUGAGAAAUUCAGGUUGAGGAAAGAGAUGAGGAGGUGGUGGUUGUGUGGUUGGUGAAUGGAAGGGACGCAGUAAUGGUGAUGUGAGAGUAUUGGUGAGUCAGUAGGGAGCUGUGAAGGGUGAUGGGACAAAUAUAUGGAUGAGGACGCUAGAUGGAAUGAAUUAGCUUUGUUCACACAGGGAUUGACAUGUGUAUCUUGCAGCUUUCCUCAUUGUUUGGUGUUGUUACUGGGAGUGGUGUGUGUGGUGAAAAUGUAUUGGUGUUAAGUUGUGGUGUGGUGUUGUUAUAGUGGUGAGCAGUGUGUGUGGUGUUGUGGGAAUAUAUUGGGUGUUGAUUGGGUUGUGGUGUGGUGAAGAGAGAUUACUGGUGAGGUGAAGAGUGUGGUGAUUGAUUGGUGUGGUUGUGGUGAGGGAUGGUGAACAAUAUUAAUGGUGAGGAAUAAUUUAGUGAUGAGGUAUGGGGAAAAAUUCUUGGUGUGGUGAAGAGGGUAAAUGGUGAGGGGAAUAGUGGUGUGGUGAUUGAUUGCAUGGUUAGUGAAACAUGGUGAAAAAGAUUAGUGGUGAGAUAUGGUGAAAGAUUUUUGGUGUGGUGAAGAGAAAUGGUGAGGAGAAUAGUGAUGUGGUGAAAAAGAUUAUUGGUGUGGUGGAUAAUUAGAUCGUGGUGGUGAGUGUGGUGAAAAAGAGUACUGGUGAGGUGGAUAUGGUGAAUAACUUGGUGGUGGUGGUGGUGGUGGUGAGAUAGGGAGUGUGUGAUGAAUAACUCGAUGUGGUGGUGUGGUAUGGUGAGUGUGGUGAAUAACUUGGGUGUGGUGGUGUGGUGAAAGGUAAGUGGUGAUCAGUGGUGGUGUUAGGAUCUCAUUAAUCAGUAAUUGGCCACACCAUACCAAUAGAACACAAUUUAAUCAGCAAUGGGGGUAAUAAUUAGUAAUGGGGGGCUGAUGGGAUUACCUUUAUUGAUUCACCUGCAUCAAUACUCGUCAAUUGGUCUCAGGUGGGAUUAGGGAAGGGGGAGAGAGGGGUAAGGGUU
rnacentral:lncRNA from 1 species